rnacentral:tRNA from 1 species
GCCACCUUAGCUCAGUUGGUAGAGCACGUCACUCGUAAUGACGGGGUCGUCGGUUCAAUUCCGACAGGUGGCU